rnacentral:RNase_P_RNA from 1 species
CCAGACGGCCGGAUGGCCGCCCGCCUCCGCUAAAGCCGCGGCGCGACACGCUCAUACGGGCCUGCGCGCCGAAGCCGCAGGCGAAAGCGGGAGGAAAGUCCGGGCUCCAUGGAAUGAAGGCGGCGGGUAACGCCCGCCGGGGGCGACCCCAGGGAAAGUGCAACAGAAAACAAACCGCUAAGGCCCGGUUGCUUGCAAUCGGGCCCAGCAAGGGUGAAACGGUGCGGUAAGAGCGCACCGCGUUUCCGGUAACGGAAGCGGCAUGGCAAACCCCGCCUGGAGCAAGACCAAAUAGGGAUGGGAGCCGGUUGCGGCACGCGGAUUCCGCGCGUUCGACCAUCCGGGUAGGUCGCGCGAAGCGCAUGGCGACAUGCGCUCCAGAGGAAUGGUCAUCGCCGUGCCCUCGCCUCGGCGGCGGCGCGGUACAGAACCCGGCUUACAGGCCGUCUGGCAGC